AACUUUCAACAAUGGAUCUCUUGGCUCUGGCAUCGAUGAAGAACGCAGCGAAAUGCGAUAAGUAGUGUGAAUUGCAGAAUUCAGUGAAUCAUCGAAUCUUUGAACGCACAUUGCGCCCCUCGGUAUUCCGUGGGGCAUGCCUGUUCGAGCGUCAU
rnacentral:rRNA from 6 species